rnacentral:rRNA from 1 species
UGAGAAUCCGUGCGAGAGGCGGAGGUAAGAAGGAGGGAGCUAGCGUUGUGCUGAAUGACUGGGCGGAAAGCGCACGUAGGCGGCUGUUUAAGUCAGGGGUGAAAUCCCGGGGCUCAACCCCGGAACUGCCCUUGAAACUGGAGAGCUAGAAUCUUGGAGAGGCGAGUGGAAUUCCGAGUGUAGAGGUGAAAUUCGUAGAUAUUCGGAAGAACACCAGUGGCGAAGGCGACUCGCUGGACAAGUAUUGACGCUGAGGUGCGAAAGCGUGGGGAGCAAACAGGAUUAGAUACCCGUGUAGUC